GUGGCUCACUUCGGCAGCACAUACUCUAAAAUUGGAAUGAUACAGAGAUUAUUAUGGCCCCUGCACAAGGAUGACAUGCAACUCUGUGAAGCGUUCCAUAAAACA